rnacentral:rRNA from 1 species
CUACGUGCCAGCAGCCGCGGUAAUACGGAAGGUCCAGGCGUUAUCCGGAUUUAUUGGGUUUAAAGGGAGUGUAGGCGGUUUGUUAAGCGUGUUGUGAAAUUUAGGUGCUCAACAUUUAACUUGCAGCGCGAACUGUCAGACUUGAGUACACGCAACGUAUGCGGAAUUCGUGGUGUAGCGGUGAAAUGCUUAGAUAUCACGAAGAACUCCGAUUGCGUAGGCAGCUUGCUGUAGCGUAACUGACGCUGAAGCUCGAAAGUGCGGGUAUCGAACAGGAUUAGAUACCCUGGUAGUCCGCACGGUAAACGAUGGAUGCCCGCUGUCGGCCUUUUUUGGUCGGUGGCCAAGCGAAAGCGUUAAGCAUCCCACCUGGGGAGUACGCCGGCAACGGUGAAACUCAAAGGAAUUGACGGGGGCCCGCACAAGCGGAGGAACAUGUGGUUUAAUUCGAUGAUACGCGAGGAACCUUACCCGGGCUUGAACUGCCAUUGACUUGAAUAGAGAUAUUCAUUCC